rnacentral:tRNA from 1 species
GCAUUGGGGGUUCAGUGGUAGAAUUCUCGCCUUCCAUGCGUGGAACACGGGUUCAGUGCCCGGCCAGUGCA